CACGUAGGAGACGAGCGGUAUCCGGAUUUACUGGGUGUAAAGCGCGUGUAGGCGGCUGGGUAAGUUGGAUGUGAAAGCUCCUGGCUUAACUGGGAGAGGUCGUUCAAAACUGCCUGGCUAGAGUGCAGCAGAGGGGAGUGGAAUUCCGAGUGUAGCGGUAAAAUGCAUAGAUAUUCGGAAGAACACCAGUGGCGAAGGAGGCUCUCGGGGCUGCAAAUGACGCUCAGACGCGAAAGCUAGGGUAGCGAACGGG
rnacentral:rRNA from 1 species